rnacentral:rRNA from 1 species
UGGGGAAUAUUGCACAAUGGGGGAAACCCUGAUGCAGCGACGCCGCGUGGAGGAAGAAGGUCUUCGGAUUGUAAACUCCUGUUGUUGGGGAAGAUAAUGACGGUACCCAACAAGGAAGUGACGGCUAACUACGUGCCAGCAGCCGCGGUAAAACGUAGGUCACAAGCGUUGUCCGGAAUUACUGGGUGUAAAGGGAGCGCAGGCGGGAAGACAAGUUGGAAGUGAAAUCUAUGGGCUCAACCCAUAAACUGCUUUCAAAACUGUUUUUCUUGAGUAGUGCAGAGGUAGGCGGAAUUCCCGGUGUAGCGGUGGAAUGCGUAGAUAUCGGGAGGAACACCAGUGGCGAAGGCGGCCUACUGGGCACCAACUGACGCUGAGGCUCGAAAGUGUGGGUAGCAAACAGGAUUAGAUACCCUGGUAGUCCACACCGUAAACGAUGAUUACUAGGUGUUGGAGGAUUGACCCCUUCAGUGCCGCAGUUAACACAAUAAGUAAUCCACCUGGGGAGUACGACCGCAAGGUUGAAACUCAAAGGAAUUGACGGGGGCCCGCACAAGCAGUGGAGUAUGUGGUUUAAUUCGACGCAACGCGAAGAACCUUACCAAGUCUUGACAUCCCUUGACAGGCAUAGAAAUAUGUUUUCUCUUCGGAGCAAGGAGACAGGUGGUGCAUGGUUGUCGUCAGCUCGUGUCGUGAGAUGUUGGGUUAAGUCCCGCAACGAGCGCAACCCUUAUGGUCAGUUACUACGCAAGAGGACUCUGGCCAGACUGCCGUUGACAAAACGGAGGAAGGUGGGGAUGACGUCAAAUCAUCAUGCCCUUUAUGACUUGGGCUACACACGUACUACAAUGGCGUUAAACAAAGAGAAGCAAGACCGCGAGGUGGAGCAAAACUCAGAAACAACGUCUCAGUUCAGAUUGCAGGCUGCAACUCGCCUGCAUGAAGUCGGAAUUGCUAGUAAUCGCGGAUCAGCAUGCCGCGGUGAAUACGUUCCC